AUAUUCUUAGGCUCGAUCUUAUGGCAGGAACUGCGUAGUUGGUGAACUCGCUUUAUGUUGUUCGUUCACUCGCGACACGGUUCUUGUCCCAAGAUCGAGUCUGUGAAUAU
rfam:Oryza punctata chromosome 12, whole genome shotgun sequence.